UUUGUGCCUUUUCGGUGUAUCCGUGAGGCCAACGUAAGAACCAGCACCGACGGGGGGUAGCCCUCGCCGGAGAACCCUGUUCAGCUUAC
rfam:Meiothermus silvanus DSM 9946, complete genome.